GAUUAACGCUGGCGGCGUGCCUAACACAUGCAAGUCGAACGAGGUAGCAAUACCUAGUGGCAGACGGGUGAGUAACGCGUGGUCAACCUACCGUUGAGUGGGGGAUAACUAGCCGAAGGUUAGCUAAUACCGCAUACGUCUCCGAGUGGCAUCACUUGGCGAUAAAAGGAGCAAUCCGCUCGAUGACGGGACCGCGUCCCAUUAGCUAGAUGGUGGGGUAACGGCCUACCAUGGCACCGAUGGUAGCUGGUUUGAGAGAGCGACCAGCCACACUGGGACUGAGAAACGGCCCAGACUCCUACGGGAGGCAGCAGUGAGGAAUUUUCCGCAAUGGCGCAAGCCUGACGGAGCGACGCCGCGUGU
rnacentral:rRNA from 1 species